rnacentral:miRNA from 1 species
AAGUGCAUCAAUGGAACUGUUUC